rnacentral:lncRNA from 1 species
GCUGUAGUGGCUUCGUCUUCGGUUUUUCUCUUCCUUCGCUAACGCCUCCCGGCUCUCGUCAGCCUCCCGCCGGCCGUCUCCUUAACACCGAACACCAUGCCUUCAAUUAAGUUGCAGAGUUCUGAUGGAGAGAUAUUUGAAGUUGAUGUGGAAAUUGCCAAACAAUCUGUGACUAUUAAGACCAUGUUGGAAGGUAAGUUCAUUGGAAAACCUGGGUGGGAGGAAAUGUGUAAUUUGAGAUAGUUUGUGAAUAUCAAAUUUAUAUGAGCAGCAGCCUGUCAUAAGGUGCUUGAGAGUAUGAAGAGGUAAAGUUUACAUUUUUUUCUUUAUAACUUACAUUUUUCUGAUACAGGUCAUCCUUUCUGCAUUGUCUGAAUUAGUGAGGGUCGUUCUCUCAUUAAAUGGAUAAAAUCAUAAGGUAAAAUAAACAUUGAAGUGAUUGCCAAGCCUUAGGCAAUGGUUAAUUUCUGUUCAAGUAAAUUUGAAUUCAUAAGUUCCAGUGAUAGAAAUUAAGGUCUUUGGAAAAGAGAUACCGUCCUAUAAUGGUGGCUGAAUAGAACACCUUAUUUCAGUGGAGGGAGUGAGCUCUGUGGAUUGCUGUGUAGAUUUUAUUUAUUGAUUGAUUUAUUUGAGACAGAGUCUCACUCUUGUCCAGGCUGGAGUGCAGUGAUGCAGUCACGGCUCACUGCAGCCUCAACCUUCUGGGCUCAGUCAGUCUUCCCACCUCAGCCU